rnacentral:rRNA from 1 species
GGGGAAUAUUGCACAAUGGGGGAAACCCUGAUGCAGCGACGCCGCGUGAGCGAAGAAGUAUUUCGGUAUGUAAAGCUCUAUCAGCAGGGGAAGAAAAUGACGGUACCUGACUAAGAAGCUCCGGCUAAAUAC